AAGCAAAGUUUGUAGAAACCCAUAAGGAAGGACAGAAGGAAAUGUUAUAAAAACCACUUUGAUUAUAAAAUUCAGGAGAAAAAAAAAGUUUUGCUGGCUUCGUUUACACCUUUCUCCCGUGGCAAAAACCAUUCGAUGCCGUAAGUUAGGACUACAGUGACCCAACGACACCAGCCCCUUGAAAGUGGCAGUCACGACAUUAGAUAAUCAGCAUUCCGUUUAACUGGAGAAACUAUCGAUGUCGGCCGAGUAUCUCUUCUUCUCCAUUUUUUAAAUGUCCUCGUGUCACACCCAUGUGAGUGUGGGUGUAUUCAUGAGGACCCCUUUUUCUCGCCUGGUGGAUUCAACUCUUCAGCGAAUGAAACACUUGUGUAUGGAUGCCUGGCCAUAUUUCCAAGGCUUAAAGUCUUUUCUUUCCGAUUAUGAUAAUAACGAACGGACGGCACGUAAUAUAACGCACAAGUAUGUUGCCAUCCUCCUCGUCUGUCCCCCCAACAGCCAAAAGAGAAGACCUAUAGGGGCAAAACGGGGCUAAAUAAGACCUAUAACUUGUUGCUAUUUUGUGUCCGAGAUAUGCAUCUUAUGAGAGCCAGAGGAGAAAUAGAAUGAAAGCUCGAAAAAUUGAUGGGACAAGGUGUCGAACUCUACUCUCGCCAGCCUUUAGCGUCGAACGUUAUCAUCCUUAAAUCUCUCAACGCAUCUCCACUGCCUGGUUAGUUAAAGGAAAAGUUAAACUUCAUUUUAAUUUAGUUUAUCGUCGCUGCUCUCUUGGCCGUUGCUGCCGCCGCUCCUUCCGGCUACCAAUCAACCCAUAGAGAUUCCAGUUACAUGACGUCUCCCAUCUACGGUUCUAACAACAAGGACAGCAAAUAUGGCGGAAUCACCAUCACCAGCCAACACGACGUCCGCAAUCUCGACGGAAGCAGCAAAUGAG